rnacentral:rRNA from 1 species
AACGAACGCUGGCGGCAUGCCUAACACAUGCAAGUCGAACGAAGCCUUCGGGCUUAGUGGCGCACGGGUGCGUAACGCGUGGGAAUCUGCCCUUGGGUUCGGAAUAACAGUUAGAAAUGACUGCUAAUACCGGAUGAUGUCUUCGGACCAAAGAUUUAUCGCCCAGGGAUGAGCCCGCGUAGGAUUAGCUUGUUGGUGAGGUAAAGGCUCACCAAGGCGACGAUCCUUAGCUGGUCUGAGAGGAUGAUCAGCCACACUGGGACUGAGACACGGCCCAGACUCCUACGGGAGGCAGCAGUGGGGAAUAUUGGACAAUGGGCGAAAGCCUGAUCCAGCAAUGCCGCGUGAGUGAUGAAGGCCUUAGGGUUGUAAAGCUCUUUUACCCGGGAUGAUAAUGACAGUACCGGGAGAAUAAGCCCCGGCUAACUCCGUGCCAGCCGCCGCCGUAACAC